UAGUCAACCUGGCGGAUGGCAGAGCCAGGCCAAACGUGUAGGCCGUGGAAGGAGGCAGGGAAAACCGCCUCUGGAGGUCGAGGCGUGAAGGGGAGCCGCAAGGCGGAAGUGACGGAGCCGGGUUGCCAAGAAAAGCCUCUAAACGGUGAAGAUCGUGUGCCCGUACCGCAAACCGACACAGGUGGGUGGGUAGAGUAUACCAAGGUGGACGAGGAAACCUUCGUCAAGGAAUUAGGCAAGUUAACCCCGUAACUUCGGGAGAAGGGGUGCCCCCUGGUGUGAAGGAUGUACAUUUGGAGCAUUGGGGGGUCGCAGUGAAAGGGCUCUAGCGACUGGUUACCAAAACCACAGGUCUCUGCGAACGCGCAAGCGGCAGUAUAGGGGCUGACACCUGCCCAGUGCCGGAAGGUUAAGGGGAGAGGUUAGAGGAAACUCGAGGCUUUGAACCGAAGCCCCGGUGAACGGCGGCCGUGACUAUAACGGUCCUAAGGUAGCGAAAUUCCUUGUCGGGUAAGUUCCGACCCGCACGAAUGGUGUAACGACUAGAGCACUGUCUCGACGAAGGACUCGGCGAAAUUGAAGACGCGGUAAAGAUACCGUGUACCCGCAGCAGGACAAAAAGACCCCGUGGAGCUUUACUGCAACUUGGCACUGCGUUAGGGUGUAGUUUGUGUAGGAUAGGUGGGAGGCUAAGAAGCCGGGACGCCAGUCUCGGUGGAGCCGGCGGUGAAAUACCACCCUGACUAGACUUUGACGCUAACGCUCCGCCGUAAACCGGCGAGUGGACCGUGCCAGGCGGGCAGUUUGACUGGGGUGGUCGCCUCCCAAAAGGUAACGGAGGCGCCCAAAGGUUCCCUCAGGUGGAAUGGAAACCCACCGCAGAGUGCAAAGGCAUAAGGGAGCUUGACUGUAAGGCUGGCAAGCCGCACAGAGACGCAAGUCGGGCUUAGUCAUCCCACGGUACCGAGUGGAAGGGCCGUGGCUAUCGGAUAAAAGCUACCCCGGGGAUAACAGGGUGGUAGGGCCCAAGAGUUCACAUCGACGGCCCUGGUCGCCACCUCGAUGUCGGCUCAGCACAUCCUGGGGCUGGACAAGGUCCCAAGGGUUGGACUGUUCGUCCAUUAAAGUGUUACGCGAGCUGGGUUCAGACCGUCGUGAGACAGGUCGGUCUCUAUCCGCUGUGGGCGUAGGGGACUUGCGGGGAGUUACCCUCAGUACGAGAGGACCAGGGUGAACGGACCGCUGGUGUGUCAGUUGUCUCGCCAGAGGCAGCGCUGAGUAGCCAGGUCCGGCAGGGAUAACCGCUGAAAGCAUCUAAGUGGGAAACCCGCCCCAAGAUGAGGUCCCCCAUCCCUUGAAGGGAGUAAGGCCGCUGGAAGACGACCAGUUAGAUAGGCGGGAGGUGUAAGCGCCGUAAGGUGUGUAGCUAACCCGUACUAAAGGCCGAGGGCUUCUGUGU
rnacentral:rRNA from 1 species